AGGACGAACGCUGGCGGCGUGCCCUAACACAUGCAAGUCGAACGGUCCGGCACUCAACCGACCCUCCAGUCUAGCUGUAGGUGAAGUUGAGUGCCGGAUAGUGGCGGACGGGUGAGUAACGCGUGGGCAACCAACCCUGUACAGUGGGAUAACACCGGGAAACCGGUGCUAAUACCGCAUGACACCUAGAUGGUGCAUACUGUUUAGGUUAAAGGAUUUAACCGGUACAGGACGGGCCCGCGUCCCAUUAGCUGGUUGGUGAGGUAACGGCUCACCAAGGCGACGAUGGGUAGCCGACCUGAGAGGGUGACCGGCCACACUGGGACUGAGACACGGCCCAGACUCCUACGGGAGGCAGCAGUGGGGAAUAUUGCGCAAUGGACGGAAGUCUGACGCAGCGACGCCGCGUGAGCGACGAAGGCCUUCGGGUCGUAAAGCUCUGUUCUUGGGGACGAAUAAAAUGACGGUACCCAAGGAGAAAGCCCCGGCUAACUACGUG
rnacentral:rRNA from 1 species